AAGCCAUUGAUCAUCUUUCCGUUUACCCCACCAAGUGAAAACUUUGUAUUACUCUUUGGGUAUCCAAUCACUUCAGAGGUCUUCCGGUUGGUUUUGAAUUCAAGUGCUUGCAUCACACCGGAUUUGUCAAAGUAACCGUCAACAGAUACAAUAUGUUCACCGUUUUGAUAGUCAAUCUCGAACUGCCAACAAAAAUGGUUGAUACGUUAAUAGGAUUUUCGUAGACAACAAGCUAAAUAUGUGACAUGUGGAUCCAAAACAUCAACAGAAUUCACCUUUGAAUUUCACUCGCCACUACAAUUAAAACGAUGUAUUAAAGAUUCUAUAUAUAAUAAUAUUUAUUUUUAAAGCAUACCAUUUGUGUGAAACCACUACCCGAAACACCAUGGAUUGAUCCCUCUACAGACUGUCCAUCUUUGACAUAAUCAAAUUUGAUGUAUUGUAUGCCUUCAAGACCACCUCGUAUAUAAACUUUUGCUACAUUAUCAUGGCCGGCUCCAUCAUCCCAUUCCUUGCCCCCUUUCCCACCCUUAGCCUCCAACUUUUGGGCCAUUGCAAACCCAUUUGAAUCUUUAUACAUAAAAAUUGAAUACUAUUAUUGUGUUAUAUAAUCUUCUUGUCAUUAUUAAUUUUACUGAGAACAUUAACUUUCUAGCCAAGCAUCAAUGUGUUAAAGAAAAUGGAAGAAAGAAAGUUGUAAUUAUCCAACUAACGUUUGGAGCCACAUAUACACAAUUAUGUACAUAAUUUAGAUUAAAAUAUAGGGGAAAAGUGUACUUUAUGUUCUCUCUAGCAAAUAUCUGAAACAUGAAUGGUGUGAAUGAAAACGGUGCAUAAGGAAGCUUAGUUACCUAUAAUGGCUGAGGAGAGAAAGAGAAAUAUAUAGAUGAAAAUCAUGAUCGAUGUGCUAUGGUGAUUGAUGAAGAAGCUGAAAUCGAAAUGCUUAUUUAUACACCAAGUUUUAGCUCUUUCACAAAUGCAUAUUACUAGUAUAUUUAACUAGUGGCCUCUAAGGCAAUAGAUUAAUGUUUCUCAGUUCUCAAGUUUCAUCAUUUUAAGUAGUUUGUUAUAUAUACUAAUACUAUUUCUUAAAGAAAGUUCACUGAACCAAUAGACUCGUAAACGUAAUCUUAAUGAAAGAACAAUAUGGAUGCUAAUGUUUGGAUAUCAAAGUAAGUUAACCUAAAGGCGUACAUGCAGUUGCGGAUUUAGAAAUAAAAUUUACAUGCAGGGGAUAAAAUACUAUACUAAUUUUAAAGAUACAAACAAUUAUGUUAUUAUUAUUUAAAUUCUAAAUAGGAAAAAAUAAUAAUAUUUAUCCACAUUUCAUAUAAUAGCUAACGUGGGAUUUGAUCAUGAAUUUAGGAGGGGCAAGUUGCUUCAAUUUACCAUUUGACCUAUAUAUUUUUUUUUUCUUACCAAAAUGAAUAUACUUUCUUUUCUAAAUGUAAAUCUAUUGCUCAUCAAAAAGGUUUAUUUACAAUCUAACGAAAGAAAAUAGAAUUGAAUGAUCGAAAAUAAGAAAAAAAGUGAGCAUCAAGGAGAUGAAGUUUUAGCUAAUCCCCUUGUACUGAACAAACCCGUAAGGAGUCCCUCGAGUUUUGUUUGAUUCGUGGUAUUGAAGGGAGCUGAUAAGACUACAAUUACAUUUUUGUCAAUCUUGUAGAUGGGCUGGGAUAUGGAGGAUGGCCAUCCUUCUAGUGUCUUCAAUCAUUAUAUUCUCUCCAUACAUGGUGUGCAUUGGCAAACGAUGGUCGGAAACUAGGAUUAUUCCAGAAAUUUGUCGAUGCAGAUGUCAAAAAAAUAUUGUUAAAAUAAUAUUGGAGAAAGUUUCAACCACAUUUUUCCAUCGAGAGAUUUUGUCAAAACGUUGUUCGAAAAUUCCGAUGAGUUUCCAACUAAACGUGGUAUCUGUAUCGAGAUAGGUUUGUCGGAUAGGCAUGCAUCAGAAUUUUCUGUUUAUUUUUGAUGAAACUUGAAAAUUUUAGUCGGAAAUUCGUCGGAAAGUUCCAACAACUUUCUAAGACUGUAAAUAUACAGUCAAAAAUUAUCGAUGAUAUUUAAAAAAAAUAAAAAUUUAGAGUAACCCAAGAGCCAAAAUACUGCCAAAUAACUCCUACCAGAUCAGUAUGCAUAAUGAUGAUAUAUCGUUACCUUAGUGGCCAUUCCAGCUUCCAAGCAGUGGCGUAGCUAGCUAAUGAGGAGGGGGUCAACGACCCCAUAACCUUUACAAAAUUUAUUUUCUAAGCUUACUUAAAAAUAAAUAAUUUAAUACUAUUAUUCAGUUAUAUAAUAUAUGACCUCCAUAACAUAUUAUUCGAGCUCGACCACUGAUUCCAAGCAUGAUUAAGGUUGUAUUUAACAAAUAAAAAUAUUAACAAGACAUUUUAACACAUAUCACGAAUAUACAUUUAUAAUUAAUUUCCCCUCUCUAGCUUCUUUGUAUCAAUUCUUUCAUACACCACCUCCAUGGAUAGUAAACUUCUUGUAUUAUCCGUUUACAGUUUAAUGAAAGUUCGCAGAUGUUACAAAACUUACAAAAUCCGUAAUCAUGAAUCGAUUUAGACAUACGUUUCCGGUGAUAGUUGUUUAAUGUUAGAAAAACGGUUUUAUAUAUGAGGGAAUAUGGUUUGACCAAAUUAUUAAAUCUGUAUGGUUUAAGACGAAAUCUCAAAUAGUCAAAUCUGAUUUUGCAUUUUCUGAUCGGUCUCAUGGAACGUGGAAACCCUAAAAGAGUGAUCUUAUUACUUAAGGAUUUGACCAACAAAAAUGAAACCUUGAGAUCUACGACAAUUUAAUGAUCUUCAUGAUUCCACUUUACGGUGAGGCCAAACAAAAAGGAAUCAAGUUUUGACUUUUGAGGAAAUUUUUAUGAAUUUAGUCAACCAUUAUAAGACUGCUUAAUAAGUUUGAUGGAACUCCAAACUCAUGUUUUACCAAACGGUUUCAUAUGGAAUGUUCCUCGGUUAAUAGUUUAUAUAGUUUAAGGCCCCACAAUGGGUAAAUGUCAAAUAAUUCGUCCAAAUUAAAUUAGAUAGUGAAUCAGUAACUUAACCUAACCAAUAGAAAAUAUUAGUUAUUCAAAAAGAAACAAAAUUAACCUAGCCUGUGACAGGAACAGUGGAUUUAGAAAGCUUAAUAUCAAGUACUCCAGUACUCUUAGAGGUCAAGGAUAGUUCGAUUAGUUGAAUUAUACUAGGGUAAAAAGUUGUUAGUUAUCAACGAGUUGUUGGUCUAGUGGUAAAUCUCCCAAAUAAAUAUGAUUGGUUCAACGUAAGUUGGAAAUGAUUUCUUCUCCAAAAAAGUUAAAUUUAAUUGAAUAUGGGUCUUCCCUGAAAAAUACAUAGGGCCUUUAGGCUUAAAUUUCCAGAUAUUUAGAAGAAAAAAAAAUGUUAGUUUAGGUUCAACUUUACCAACAUGGUUAAUACUUAAUAGGAAAUUUAGAUAAGCAACAGUAUGGUGUCGGAAAUAUAAGAAAGUAAUGCAUGGACCGGAUAUCAGACUGCUUCAAGAUUAAGUGUUUUAAUUUUGACUUUGAGGAAUUGAUAAAUUAAUUGUGAUGCAUAAUGGUAGCGUUUUACAAUUUCUUUUUUGCACAUACAGUUUUUUGUAAUAGAUCCAAACCAAUAGCUCUUUUAUUAUAGAAACAUUAAAAAGAUUUGAAUAAUCAAACGUUGCUUUAUUACAUGAGAUUUCAGAAAGGAAAGAAAACAUCGCAAGUUAAAAACAUCUGAGGCACAUCCACAGACAACAAGUAAAGGAAAGUAAUUAAAAAUAACAGAUACGAGAUUGUUAUUACAGCACCAUGGAACCCUAUUAUUUUAUUAUCUUCAUAAUUAUGAAUUAAGAAGUAACCAUGGGGAAGAAUGGUUGAAACUUCUGUAAUCUUGAAACAUGUACAUAUGCUAUAUUUGUGUCUAGAGAUGCAUUUUUGUUGAACAUAUGUAUUUUUUAAGAUUAAUAAUCACCUGAAGCAUGUGUCAGUGAUAAAUGGGGUUUAGAAUGUAAUUAACGUGGAGAUGCCUAUACGAGAUAUGCCUUCACCCCAAAAUAUAUAUCUGAAUCGAUUUAUCUUUACGAAAGAGAUAUAUAAUACCUACUUGUAUUUAGUUAAUUCACUCUCAGAUCUGGUGGAUGAAUAUAAUGAACCAUGAAUUUUGACUUUUGACAAUAUAUUCUCGCUUUUUCCGGCCGCUUUCUUCAUGUGUUGAAUAUUUGAUUGUAAGAUUUGAAGUUUCUUAGCUCAAGAUUGAUAUUUACUUCUUGUUUGUUUAUUAAAGAAUCUUUUGUUUUGGGUUUGAAGUUUACAGCAUGUAAAUAGCAUGUUAUACAUUUAUUUAAAAAGGUUAUGCUAAUUUAAUAAUCAUCACAUUCAGUAAACUCAGAAGAAGAAAAAACGGGAACCGAGUUAGGCUAUUUUUUGUUGAAUCGUAUGAAACAAAGAAUGCUGCCAGUAAUUUUUAACUUUUCCAGUUGCUAUCCAUAUCUAUUGUUCUUUUAACUAUAAUAUAUAUAUAUAUAUAUAUAUAUAUAUAUAUAUAUUCUCACCUUAUCAAAACUAAGAAUUAGAUUAAUUUUAAUAACAAAUGAAAUUUCAAUAUAAAUGUAUAUAUGUUUAAAGUUCUUAAGUGUAGGUGAUGAAAACAUUAUAUUUGAGUUUCUCUCUAGAAAAAAAAAACUAUACACUAAUUUAAUUAGUUUCCUCGGAUCUCAUAUGAGGAAUUCAAAGUCGCCUAGGUUUUUCGGUCCAUCUCAAACUAAAUCUAAUUGUAUGACUGGCAAUAGCCUACUGGUUAUCGUAUAUUUCUCUUCUUUGGAGUUAUUAUUAGUACAUGGAUUGAUACAUGCCUUUGAAUAUUCUUUUAGUUAUCAUUUUUCUUUAGACGUGUGGUUCUUUAUGACUUAAUAUAAGUUUUACACUCAUUGCGAGUCAGCUUGAUAAACAAACAUAUGCAGAAUCACUGACAACAACUCAAGGUCUUAACUCUUUGUUAAAAAAUCUAACAACAACAUAAGUUUAAAAAGGAACAACGUCACCAACACUAAGCAUCAUGCAUUAAGUAGAAAGUUUAAUACUCCAUACAAAGAAAAAUAUCACGUCAAAAACGUUGCGAAAAGUGCCACGGUUUCAUUGGAGCUUUAAAAGUUUUGUUUGCAUUUAAUUCAGAAUUAUAAUAAUAUUUUUAUUUUUAAAUACUGAAAUACAGGUUUCAUAAUUAAACCUUGUUUUAUUACAAGAGAUUGUAAACUCGAAAGAAAUUACUGAUUAAAGAAACAUCGGAGUAGGUAGUAAAUCAUUGUAGAUAUGAGAGCCUUAAAACAAGAUGAAGUUCGUGACUAUAUUUCCAUCUAACCAUAUGGUUUUAUAGCCUUUAUAGUCUCGAAUUACGAAGGAAUUGGAGAGAAGUAAACUCCGAUAGCGUCGAAAGCACCACCAUCCCGCCCAUAGAAUCCAACAAUAGCAUUACCUUGGCUCUCCAACACAAAUUUGGUACCUGACACAAACCCAUAUGUGGGAGAGAUUCUCCCUUUUGAUGUUUUGAAAAUCAACGACCUAAUGACCAAAACGUUAUCAUCGGGGAGUAUGUUGUAGGUUCCCUCCACUGAUAUCAAAUACUCAUUUGGAUAGUCUAUCACAAACUGUAAUAAAGGGGAAAAAAACGUUAGUAAACCUACAAUGAAAUUAUAAGAAUACUUAAAAUCUGAUAUAGUAUUUAAGUGAUACAUUGACUGUUUGACUUAUUGUCAAUAAAUUUGUAAUAAAAAACGCGUAAAUUAAUCAAAGCCUAGUGAGUGUAAUUGGUUUUUAUAUAUAAACAAGUUAAAUAUAUCGAUGGACUAAUUAAGAUUUAAGAAUGUUAUGUUUAAGAGAUAAGAAUUCAGUACCUCCUCUGUAUCUCCAUUCUUCAUCCCGUGGUAACGUGUUACAACUUGGCCGUCCUUUUCAUAGUCCACAUUGAUACUCCUUAUAAGAGUGCUAAUGUAAGUGACAGAUAUCUUUUUCACGCCAUCAUAAUUAGAGCCAUCAUCCCAAGGUUCGCCUCCGGUUAGACCACCUACAAGUUGUGACUUAGUAGGAGGAGCUGUUGUUAAAUAUGCUCCAAUGGAGUUUAGGACUUUCCCAGCAGAUCCAUGGAAGCCAAUCACCAUCUUGCCAUUGACUCCACCGAGUGAAAACUUUGUAGUACCCUUUGGAUAUCCAAUCACUUCAGAAGUCUUCAGGUUGGUUUUGAAUUCAAGUGCUUGCAUCGUACCAGAUUUGUCGUAGUAGCCAUCAACAGAUACAAUAUAUUCACUGUUUUGAUAAUCAAUCUCAAACUGCAAACAAAAAUGGUGAUUGUAUUAAUAAGGACUUUGUACACAGUAGCCAAUAACCUAAAUAUAUGUGAUAUGGGAAACCACGACAUAAUAAGAUCCAAGUUUGAGUUUCAUUGGUCACUAGACUUAAACAUUUAUACAUUAAAAC
rnacentral:lncRNA from 1 species